GAAAUUGUUCAUAUUAAUUAUCAUUUUUAUACCAAUGUUUUUGCCUGUAUUGUAUUGACAAAGGAUCAAGAUAGAAGUGUAGAUAAGCAUGGAUUAUGAAUGGAAAGCCAAACUGAAUGCAGAAAGAGCCAAAGUUGAGGAUUUAUUUGAAUAUGAAGGUUGUAAAGUUGGCCGAGGAACUUACGGCCAUGUCUACAAAGCUAAGAGAAAAGAUGGGUCUGACAACAAAGAGUAUGCACUCAAGCAAAUAGAAGGCUCAGGCUUGUCCAUGUCAGCAUGCAGAGAAAUAGCUUUACUACGAGAACUGAAGCAUCCUAAUGUAAUAAACCUUCAACGAGUCUUCCUCUCACAUUCUGAUCGAAAAGUCUGGCUGCUUUUUGACUACGCAGAGCACGACUUGUGGCAUAUAAUUAAGUUUAACCGAGCUGCGAAGGCAAACAAACGCACAGUCCCUGUGCCUAAAGGAACUGUCAAGAGUUUGCUCUACCAGAUCUUAGACGGCAUCAGAUACCUGCACUCUAACUGGGUGCUGCACAGAGACCUGAAGCCUGCCAACAUCCUGGUGAUGGGUGAAGGCGUCAUGCGGGGGCGCGUUAAGAUCGCAGACAUGGGCUUCGCUCGUCUCUUCAACUCGCCCCUUAAGCCGCUGGCAGACCUCGACCCUGUCGUGGUUACCUUCUGGUACCGCGCCCCUGAACUGCUGCUCGGCGCCCGGCACUACACCAAGGCUAUUGAUAUAUGGGCGAUUGGUUGCAUUUUUGCCGAGUUGCUGACAUCGGAACCAAUCUUCCACUGUCGGCAAGAAGACAUAAAGACAAGCAACCCAUACCACCAUGACCAGCUAGACAGGAUAUUCAACGUGAUGGGGUUCCCGCAGGAGAAGGACUGGGUGGACAUCAAGAAGAUGCCUGAGCACGGCACUCUCAUGAAGGACUUCAAAAAGAACAACUACACGAACUGCUCGCUCAUCAAGUACAUGGACCGCCACAAGAUCAAGCCUGACAGCAAGGCUUUCUUGCUGCUCCAGAAGCUGCUGACGAUGGACCCCACGAAGCGCAUCACCUCAGAGCAAGCCAUGCAGGACCUCUACUUCCAGGAGGAACCUCCGCACACCUUAGACGUCUUCGCCGGCGGUCAAAUCCCGUACCCCAAGCGGGAGUUCUUAUCAGACGAGGAGCAGGACGAUAAGAGCGAUAAGGUGAGACUGUGACGUCAGACGAGGAGCAGGACGAUAAGAGCGAUAAGGUGAGACUGUCACGUCAGACGAGGAGCAGGACGAUAAGAGCGAUAAGCGCGGCAGUAAGCCUGGGGCGGCGAGCUCGAGCAGCGCUGGGGACCACGGCCCCCACGGCCCCGCGGCCAAGAGAGUGCGUCUGGGGCCCCACCAGGGCCAGGGCGGGGGCCAGGGGGGCGGUCAGGGCCAGAACUCUGGCGUGUCCAUGGCCCAGCAGCAACAACAACAACAACAAGAGUUCCAGCAACAUAUGUCACAGCGGAACCAUCAUCAGCAGCAGCAACAACAAC
rnacentral:misc_RNA from 1 species